rnacentral:rRNA from 1 species
UACGAAGGUGGCAAGCGUUACUCGGAAUUACUAGGCGUAAAGGGCAGGUAGGUGGUUUGGUUAGUCUAUUGUGAAAGCUCCCGGCUUAACUGGGAGAGGUCAAUGGAUACUGCCGAACUUGAGUAUAGGAGAGGUUACUGGAAUUCCCGGUGUAGCGGUGAAAUGCGCAGAGAUCGGGAGGAACACCAAUGGCGAAAGCAGGUAACUGGACUAUUACUGACACUCAGCUGCGAAAGCUAGGGGAGCAAACAGG